rnacentral:rRNA from 1 species
UCGAGAAUAUUCGACAAUGGGCGAAAGCCUGAUCGAGCGACGCCGCGUGCAGGAUGAAGGCCUUCGGGUCGUAAACUGCUUUUAUACGGGAAAAAACAAAUGAUGGUACUGUAUGAAUAAGGGGUGGCUAACUUCGUGCCAGCAGCAGCGGUAAUACGAAGGCCCCGAGCGUUAUCCGGAAUUAUUGGGCGUAAAGGGUGCGUAGGUGGUUCGGUAAGUUUGCUGUUAAAUCUAUGGGCUUAACCCAGAGACCGCGGUGAAUACUGCCAAACUAGAGGAUGCAAGAGGCUUGUAGAACUUAUGGUGUAGGGGUGAAAUCCGUUGAUAUCAUAGGGAAUACCAAAGGCGAAGGCAGCAAGCUGGUGCAUUUCUGACACUGAGGCACGAAAGCGUGGGGAGCAAAAAGG